rnacentral:lncRNA from 1 species
UUUAGAAAUUAGGAGACUACUAAAAUUCAGUGGCACAUCAUUAGCGACAAAAUUAUUUAUGAAAAAAAUCUAAAUGUGAGUAUUUUGUUACCAACUUAAUAAAUUCAUAUCAAGUUCACAUUGGAAGAUUCUUAAAAGUAGGAAAUUGAUUAUUCAUAACUCUACCAUAAAAUCAAUAUACCUUAGGUAUCUGGGGAUAAUUUAUCUAAGG